rnacentral:rRNA from 1 species
UACGGGGGGGGGGCAAGCGUUUGUUCGGAAUUACUGGGCGUAAAGGGCUCGUAGGCGGCCAACUAAGUCGGAUGUGAAAUCCCCAGGCUUAACCUGGGAACUGCAUCCGAUACUGGAUGGCUUGAAUCCGGGAGAGGGAUGCAGAAUUCCAGGUGUAGCGGUGAAAUGCGUAGAUAUCUGGAGGAAUACCGGUGGCGAAGGCGGCAUCCUGGACCGGCAUUGACGCUGAUGAGCGAAAAGCUAGGGGAGCAAACGGGG